GAUGAACGCUGGCGGCGUGCCUAAUACAUGCAAGUCGAGCGAACGGACUAGAAGCUUGCUUCUCUGAUGUUAGCGGCGGACGGGUGAGUAACACGUGGAUAACCUACCUAUAAGACUGGGAUAACUUCGGGAAACCGGAGCUAAUACCGGAUAAUAUUUUGAACCGCAUGGUUCAAAAGUGAAAGACGGUCUUGCUGUCACUUAUAGAUGGAUCCGCGCUGCAUUAGCUAGUUGGUAAGGUAACGGCUUACCAAGGCAACGAUGCAUAGCCGACCUGAGAGGGUGUUCGGCCACACUGGAACUGAGACACGGUCCAGACUCCUACGGGAGGCAGCAGUAGGGAAUCUUCCGCAAUGGGCGAAAGCCUGACGGAGCAACGCCGCGUGAGUGAUGAAGGUCUUCGGAUCGUAAAACUCUGUUAUUAGGGAAGAACAUAUGUGUAAGUAACUGUGCACAUCUUGACGGUACCUAAUCAGAAAGCCACGGCUAACUACGUG
rnacentral:rRNA from 1 species